rnacentral:lncRNA from 1 species
UGGAUUUUAGACGAUGAAAGGCUGACUCAAUGCCAUUGAGAGCUGCAUUUUCGCGCUGAUCAAUUUCCCUCGGUACAUUUUUAGCUGCCUCAGCCUGAUUACAAAUUGUUUGCACCUCAUGAUUUGCAAUCUCAUACGCUGCAACACAUUUUUCUUCCUCGUAUUUCAAAUCCCCUUCCUCCUGUUUAAGAACAGCCACACAUUCUUUCAGCUUACCAAUCAGUUCCAUCGCGUCUACUAUCUGUCUUUCUAAACUUUCCUUCAUUUUCAUGAUCAUCGCGAUAUGUCCUUGAGAACAGCAACACUAUUGAAAUGCCUCCAUCAAUGGCAUGUUUUGAAACUGCUGAAUUCUGAGUGCCCGAUCAUUAAUCAAACUGCUCAUAUCUUCGGUCAAUAAGGUAUCCAAGUCAAGCAGAUUUUCCCUCUCUUCGAUUUCAGACUUGAGUUUCUCUAAUUCAGCUUUCAUCGAUUGAAGAUUCUUCUUAUCAUCAUUAAUCUGUUCCACGAUCCUAUUCUUCUCAUCGUUGAGCUUUUUUGUCUCAACAAUACAAUUUACCGCAUUUUUAAUCUCAUCAAGUCGAGUUUCUAGCCACUUGACAUUCACCUUCAUUUUCUCAGCAUCCCUGACUACAGAGCAAUAGGAGUUGAAGAGAUCACAAUCGAAUUCAGCCAAGUGUUUCUUUUGGAGUUCUUGAACAACCUUACAUAUAGCUUCUAGUACAGAAGUCAACAUGUAACCCGACUCCAAUGAACAAUCACUUGUAAUGUCUCCGUACUCUUUGACAAUGGCUAGAAAGGUUGGUUCAAGACUCGGGCUCAUGCUAAUUGAUUUUUUCGCCAAUUUUGUACUUUCUUUUACUUUAUCAAAUGCAAUUGCCACUUGUUGAAGGAAAUUGACAUCAAUCCUGCAAAUUAACUCAUUAUCAACAUUCUUCUUUGUUUUGUGAUCACAUCGAGUAACAUUAGUCAUUCGCCCUUCUUCUACUAUCAAGGGACUAACCAUUAUCCCUUGAAGAACAGUAGUACAAAGCAGAGGACUUUCAAAAGUACCUCCAUGAAUAAUAUCAGGUGCAACAUCUUCAAUUUCUGUCUUCACUACUGUUAUCAAUCCUGACUGUGGCUGCAUAGCUGGUGAAGUAUUAGUUUGGCCUAACUGAUUUUUCGCCACAGUACUAAUCGGACUUCCUUUAGCUAUGGUUGCUGCAUCGGUCUGAUUAAUCGAUGGUCUGAAUGAUGUCACGCGAUCUUGAACACCAACUGUAGGGGUGUUACACAUGUAAAUGACCAAAUUAAGAGCAAUCUAAUCAUCAAACCAACAAGUUAAAAAUGAAGAACAGAGUUUACAUUUUCCGUUAGUAAAUUAACAAAAUGAACUCCAACAAAGUAUACCUUAAAAUUAUAUCAUCAUAGUGAGUGAUAGAGACAUCUCUAUUUGACUAAUCUAUUUUUUUUUAUGACCAAAGAAUCCAUCUACGAUCACAACAUUCAAAACUCGGGAUAAUAGGCUUGUCCCUCUGCCCUUCUCCAUUUAAAUACUUCGUGCAACACAAGGCUCGAACUUGUAACCUAACUUAACAACUUUUGUUACUCACUAGUUAUUUUCUAUCAAAAGCAUCGGUGGGAGUGCUUCAACCUUAACUAGAGGUUUCGGGUUCGAGCCUUGGCUAUGGAAAAAAUCCUGUUGGAAGCAACACUCCCAAACAAGCCCGUGUACGAUUCGGAUUUAGUUGGGGCUCCAAUGUGAGCUUCGGACAUCGGGUGAGAAAUAAAAAAAAAGCUUAAUCCAACACUUUACUUUUUAUUUAUUUAAAUAAGCACUUUUGACUUUCUAAAAGCUUGGCUAAACAGACUGUAAAUUCUAUAAAACCUUAAAAUGAACAUAAAAGAACUGGAACAGAGGAUUUGCUCACCUGAUGGUUUCUGUUUGUGUGAAGAAGGCUGAUGUUGAAUAUGGGUCGGGUCAAAUGAAUGUGGUGUGGGUCUUUUUCUUGACCCAUGACCCGAAAUCUUCCCCACAACUUGACCCGUUUUGUUCUCAAAUCCAGGUGGUAUUUCUAAAUCAAAGUUUUUCUCUGUCAUUAUUACUAAGGAGUUUUGGACUGUAAAAAAUGGAGAAAAGUGCAGAGGAAGAAAUGGAGAAAAAAGAGAUGGAUAGAAACUGAUAAAAAAAAAAUUUGGAGAAAGAUGGUAGAAAUUUUCUUUGCACUGAUGUUAUUGCAGAUACACAAAAAUAGAAAGCAAAAAAGCAAAUAAGUAUGGGAAAAAGAUUUAGAUUAAAAAAACGAGUUUUAAUAUUUCAAAAAUAGAUUUUUAUCAUCAAUAUUUUACCUAUAAUGCUAUAACAUUAAUUAUUUAUUUUUCAAUUCAUUUUACGAGAUCUAAUUCAUUUCAUGAAAUUCAAAAUAAUACAUCAACUAGAUAUUAUGAUAAAAUAUUUAUGUUAAUCAUUAUUUCUUAAGGACAUGCAAAAUUAAAAAUUGAACGAGUAAAAGUGAACAUAAGAUUCUCAUGAGAAGUAUAUUAGGAAACACGUUAAUAGUCUGAUCAAACUACUCAAAUAUCCUUAUUUUGAGAAGUCUUUUUUAAACAUUUUCUAAGUACUUUCUUAGUCCAAAAAUGAAGUGUUGUUUUAGAGUGAGUAUUUUUUUAUGUUCAUUAAGAAAAAUAAUAAAUACUAUUAAGAUGUAUUAAACAUAUAAUUGAAAACAAUUACUACUGAUUAUUGUUUCGAAUAUUCUAAUUGGUAAUUGGUUCCAGUUCAUUUAAUUAAUGCACCAAACUUCAAAAGAAAUUAUCUCUAAGCCCCUAUGGUUUGCUACUUCCAAACCUGGUUGUCGCGAGUUGAAGUAAAGUCAGUUCUAUUUUCAGACAAUCACACCAAUACGUAACGACUAAAACACAUACAAACUGAAGCUAAAAUCAUAUUCACAUGAACUCGUUUAUUUCAUUAACAAGACUUCUAAAAAGCUCAAUAAAACACCAUAAUUUACACGAAACAGUUAACGAGUGUACAUUAUAUCUGAAACUAAUAGUUAAGAUUGUAUGGAUUUUAGACGACGAAAGGCUGACUCAAUGCCAUUGAGAGCUGCAUUUUCGCGCUGAUCAAUUUCCCUCAGUACAUUCUUAGCUGCCUCAGCCUGAUUACAAAUGUUUUGCACCUCAUGAUUUGCAAUCUCAUACGCUGCAACACAUUUUUCUUCCUCGUAUUUCAAAGCCCCUUCCUCCUGUUUUAGAACAGCAACACAUUCUUUCAGCUUACCAAUCAGUUCCAUCGCGUCUACUAUCUGUCUUUCUAAACUUUCCUUCUUUUUCAUAACCAUCGCGAUAUGUCCUUGUGUUUGAGAGAUCUCAUCUUUAAGAUCAUUUGCACAAGUUAUUGCGUUUUCAUAUCUAGUCUUCAGCUCAACAGGAAAUGACUGCAUUUCUCUCUGUCUCUUAGCUGUGAGCAAAUCAUAAUGAUACGCGAUGAAAUCUCUAACAUUGUUGUAGAAAGAUGAAUAAUCUGCUUCAAGAAAAUCCAAGUUGAAGAAGGCAUUGUUCGCACACUUAAUCAUUGCUUCAAUGUUUUUCAUGCUUCCAGAGGUGAGUUGGAACACCAAAACUGACUUGACAUGAGAGAUCAUGGUCUUUGAUUCUUCGUUGAUGUGAGAAGAUGAAAAAUCAUUAAUCCGAAGACGUGGAUUUGGUGGUGGACUCAGUAAUGACAACGGAUUCAGAUUUAUCUUUUCAUCUUUCUGUUCUUCUUCAUCUAUGAUUAGUAGAGGCGUAUUUAUGUUCGAUCCCGAUGGAAUUGUUGGCAUUGCCAUCGAUGACGCUUCAAAAUCAACAAUAUCAUAAGAUAUAGUACUUUUUGAAACUUCACUUCAAAAUCUAAAAUAUCAAAACUUUACUUUAUGAGUUCAAUUGAACCCAUACCAACAUUGAUACAUCCUCCCCUUAGU